CACAGCCCCCCCUCCCAGCUUCCGAGCGCAAGGCCCCGCUCCCCGCCGCGGCAUCCCUCCUCACCAGCGGGGGCUGCCCUAGAGAAACGCAGCAGCGCUCUCUGGGGUCAGACAGGCUGCUUCCCGUCCCCGGGGAGAGAGUCCUGUCUCCCGGCCUCUGGAUGGUCGAGCGGUCUGUGCUGCAGAGGAGGAGGAAGACCGGGUGCAGCAGCAGCCGACAAGACCGCCGUCUUCUCACCAGCUUUAGGAGCUCCAAGAGCGAAUCUACCCCCUCUAAAAUACACACGCAGGCAAGAUAUUUGCAAUCAAGCUGCCACCAUUUGGCAAAGAGCUGUAUGCCGUGCACAAUCUAAGGGGAUCAGGAGCCUCAUCCUCGAAUCAUCUUGUUACUUCCUGCUGAAAUGGAUUUUCCCCACCUUCUUUUUCCUCCUUACACUGCGCUGGAAAUUGCCGAAGGCUUUUCAUCUUUAUAGACGCUAAGGAGUCUUUCGUGAAAACGAAGCGAUUUACAAUGCAAAUAGGGGCCUGUAAAGGAAUGGAUGCUCCUCUCUCUUAACGCAGCUUACGCAACUUAAUGGCUGGUUUUAUUUUCUGGUAUUAACAGACGAAUUGUUGGCUACCCCUGCCGGAAAUUACUGGCUGAAACAAAAAGUUAGGAAUAAACUUUGAAGGCAAGGGAUAGUUUUGUAGCUG
rnacentral:lncRNA from 1 species